UCAAAAUGUAUGUAUUUAUGACCUCUUCUAUGUGUCAAAUUACUUUAAACGAACGUAUAAAUAUUUUACGCGAAACUAUUUUACGCGAUUUCUGUCUGCAACGGAUCUUUCUUACGUAUCAUUAAACUCAAGUGAUAGUGCUGACUCACAGAACUAUUCCUGCUUUUCUAAAACUUUAUAUAAGUGUAUUGUAGCUCGCCUCAUUAGCUUUGUUAUUUUAUGUACCGAAAUGCGACGGCGUGGAUAUAUUUCUGCGCCUUAAUAUAGCUAUGGUGUAUAAGAUUUUAAGGUGUUGUUCAAUUAAUUAAGUUAUUUGUUGGAAUAUUCUUUGCACCUCUCACUAAAGUUGGAAAAUAGCUAGCGUUUGCUAUCAUGGACGUAUUGUGCCGUAUCAUUGUGAGAGCUCGCUUGAAGGACUCGAACACCACUUGAAUUGAAAGGCGAAGCGAAAUUGUGCUUCUAAAGUAGUAACUCAAUGGGUGCUGGGAUUGAAACUUAUCCCGUACCUAACCCUAUUAAGAGCGGCUCACCUAUCUAAUGUGCAUUCUGGAAGCUUGUUGGAGCCAUAGCAAGCAAUAUGGCCGACUUAACCUUGUUAAGCGUACGCGACGCCUACCGCCGCUUCAAAGGAAACUCUAAUGAUUGCAUACGGAACGCAAUUAACAUUGCAAAGCAGUGAUUUUGUUAAUUCAACUUCAUGCAACACAGGAAUGAUGUGUCUACUUUAUGAAAAUUACUGUUUUAAAUUAAGUGAAGCGUAUAUUCGUAUAAAGUUAACUUUUGUUUCAAACUUCUGUUUGUGCUAAUGUUUAAUAAACAGGUAUGCUCUAAACAAAAUUUCUCUUGUUCAAUCGUACUUACCGUACUUAUAUAGUUGGUAAACAUUGCUAGUGUUAAAAGUUUUUGUUUUAAUUAAAAUAUAGAAGCUUGAGUAAGUUCAAUGAAUACUGGCAGUUUGUGUCUAUUUUUCAUAAUCUGAGACAUUGUUGCCAUUAUCUCUUUUUUAUUUAAAUUUCAUUAGUGGGUUUGGUUUUAAUGUAUAUAGAUUUAAUUUACCUGAAAUCUUGUACUUCCAGUCCAGUUUACUGGUUUCCAUUGUAACUCCUUAUACCAUAUAUUUUCCUUACUAAAAUACUAAUAGAAUAAUUCCUGGCUAUAAUUUUUGUCCAUACCUUUAUAUUUUUUUCAUUCGUUCUUUGCCCGUUUUGCUACUUUCAUUUCUUCGUAUGUAUCCAUGUGGCCGAGGGCGUUCCCUUGUAUGAUGUAGUAGGUCACAGGUCAUCCUAUUGCUUAAAGAGCGCCUCCACUUACUGUUUUUGAAAAACUUUUUGUCAUUGAGAUUUCCGUUUUGUUUUCUUUAAUAUUUUUUUCUUUCAGUCUAUUUUUUACUUCUUCUAGAUGUAAUAGUAAUAGAUUUUCA